rnacentral:lncRNA from 1 species
UCUGUAUAGCCCUGGCUGUCCUGAAACUCACUCUGUAGACCAGGCUGACCUCAAACUCAGAAAUCCACCUGCCUCUGCCUCCCAAGUGCUGGGAUUAAAGGCACGCGCCAUCACUGCCCGGCGUCUAAGUGCAUUUUUAAGGGAGCUUAAGCUAUGAAGUAUUGGCAGGACUCACUUGGGGAACAGAAUGACUCACAUCCUACAAUUCUCUCACAUUCACAAUAUCUCUAUAUGUGUACAGGUCUUGUUUUUUUGAUAAUUGUAACAAAGUAUUCCCUCCUUAUUUUUGAUGGCUUUUCCUUCAGCAGUGAAUAACCAUCUAUGUCUCUUCCAGUUUUAAAGCCUGGGUUAGAUCCUUUAGUUCAGCUUUGUGGGCUGAAGUUCCUGGCAGCAAAGCAGUUGUCCAAAUAACAGAGUCCAAGCCCAUUACUGCUGCCCCUGCAUGUCUGAUUCCAUUCUGGAUGACGCUGCUCCUAUCCAUUAAGUAUAUUCAUCCCUCAUCUGACCAGAGUAUGACAAUCAAGUCUGGCCUGACAUUCUGGAUGUAUCCCAGUACUAUAGAGCAAUCAUGCUGCAUGUCUGAGGGUGGAUCAGAUAGCAGGGUGGCUGGCUUUAAGGCAGAUGGUGAACCGGUUAUAUCUUAUGUGAGGGGAAUUCAAAAGUAGAGCCUGAAAGUGCACCAGUCUGGCACACCGGCUGGGUGGAUUCCAGAGGGUCCCCUCAAUAGCAUUGGGGGUGGUGAUAAGUUCCUGCCAUGUGGUUAUUUUGUCAGCAUCCUUGUCUUGCAGGAUGCUGGAAACUAUGAUCUAGAGGUAGACUGGCCAUCCUUGGGCCACCGGGUCCAGCUUCUUAGAUAAAUAAGCCACAGAUCUUUUCUAUGAUCCCAAAGUUUGGGUGAGCCACCCCCUUUUCUAUCCCCUUUCUCUCAUCCAUAUACAGGUGGAAAGGUUUGUGAAUCUUCAGGAGGGCCAAAGCAGUCAUCUCCAAUAAGGCUCUUCUUAGAGUCUUAAAAGCCAUGUCCAUCUCAAGGGUCCGUUCUAUGUUGUCUUCUUGGCCCUGAGAGUCCUCAUAGAACAGUUUGGCUAACUCAGUGAACCCUGGCACCCAAAGUCUUCAAACCCAUCAUAUCCCAGAAAUUUCUGUACUUGCCUUUGGGUUAUGUAACUGAGAUGUUAAGUUUGGUUUGUUCCUGGUGUAUGACAGCAUGUGUUGGUCAGUCAGUCCCCUUUGAAUAUGUAGGUGACCUUAAGUUGACAAAGCUGGGCUUUCUUAGCAGAUACUCAGUAGCCAAGUUGACUCUAUUCCUGUAGGAGGCAUCAAGUGGCCUCCUGACAUGUCUCCAAGUCUGGAGCUCUCAAUACAUACUGGAGCACAUUUAUUUGGGGAUGUGCCCACAGGUACUCAUCUGAGUCCUCAUACAGUGCCUCUUCAAAGGCAGUAAGUAGGUGGAGAGACCAAAAUCUUUUAAAUUCAGACUCCAUUUUAGAGAACCUGACCUAAGUUUGAAGUCAGGUAAACUAACACGCUCCUACCUGGCAUUAGUUUCCAAGUUACUUUGCCCCAACAAAACCCAAGCCUAGCUCCAGUCUCUAGGCUCUCACCCCAACAAGAUCAGAGUUUCCAGGUUACACCCUGAACAAGACCAGCUACUCCAGGUUAUUAUCCCAACAGAUCUGCACCCCCAGGUUACAAGCCCACACCUGCCUAAUGAUCACCAAUAUAGAGGGAAAUAGAAAUUAAUUUUACAGUUUGAGUCCCAGCACCAGCCAAUUAUGCUAAAGACCAUAGUAGCUUUCCAAUUAGAUGCUUGCAUUUGGGGCCCUGUAGCCCAGAGAGGUAAGACUGUAGUAGACUUGGCCCUCUGGGUAGUGUGAGGUGGACUUCAAGGGGAGUCAGGGGCUGCUCCUUCCUCUGCCUGUGCUGGCUGGACAUGGGUAGAAAUAUAAGGAGCUGGACAGAGAUCCUCCUGGGGAGUAGAAAGGGGGAGCAAGGGCCAUAACAAAAAAGGUCUCAUUCAAACAGCGGGCUUCUCAACCUGGUAUUGCCAUGUGGUAAUGUAUGGCACUUGGUCCCCAACUCUCAUAAAGUAAGCCUUCACCCUGUAAAUGAUGAGGGAGGGGGAGUGGAAAGUUUCCUUAGAUCAGAGGUGGGCCAUUUAUUCCUACAAUGAUGGUUAGUUUUCAGGACAAACAACCAGACCCAAGUCUUUUGCAACUCAUUGAAAGUCCUUAGAAUGGUUAAGGACAAGCCCAGUGAGAUGCACUGUGCCUGUCCCUUUCUAGGAAUCAAAGAAAAAUUUGUACAAGAGGACAAAAAGCACAAACAUAAUACAACACAGACAGAAACAGGAGGAUAUUCCUGGGAAACCAAAACCAAAAGGCUGUCUAAGAUGAUCUCUCUCCCUGUGCAUGGGAGGCCUAUAGACACACAGCUAGUUCAGAAUUCAGAUGAGAACUAGCAAGUUCUGCUUCUAGUAGAGGUUCAGGAGUGUCCUCAAUUGCCUCAGGCCAGUUGACAAAAUAUGCAUCCACUUUGUCCCUAUAGGCCUCAAACAGAAAGAUUAAACGUGAAGCGCAAACACAGAGAUGGACAAGACAAAAGACAACUGGGUGCCCAGAAUUACCGAUCAGAAAAACACUUCACUCUUUGAAUCAGGGGGUCUCUAGCAAAUCCUGGGUGUGAUUUAUGAUUUGUUGAAGAAUGGUAUCCAGGACUCAAAUAGAAUGGAAACACAAAGACUGUUUUAUUCUGCAAGAAGUCCAGCAUGCUGGGGGGGUCUCUCAGUCCAAGAUGGAGACCCCAAAGUGAGUUCAUGGGCCUCAUUUAAAGCACAUGAGGGGAAUUCUAGGGUAGAUGACUUCUAUCUUAAUCUGUUGAGGCCACAAGCUUGCUUAAAAUUCUUAAAAUUCUUAAAUGAAAUGUGUAUAUACUUUUUAACUUUUUGCUCUAGAUUCUUAGGAUCAGGUGUUUUACUCACUGGUGAAAGAGAAAAUCUUGUCAUAUCUUUUACCAUCUCUCAGGCUUCAUGCAAAAUCUCUUGUCUGGGAGACUUGUACCCUGACAUUAAAGGAGUUAAUUCUCUCUUGAAGAUUGUAAAACCUCCUCAUCAACCUCAGAAAGAAGGAAAGCAAUGAAAAAAGUGUCCAUGCUAUGAGGAACUGGACUUGAUUCACAAGUUUUAGGAGCAGAGAAAUUGGAGCUGGAGGGAAAGAUGACUGAAGUUCUCUAAUGAAUUUUAUCAACUGAUGACGUCCCUCUUACCUCCUUCCUCCAGCAACAAAGUUCAUAGAACUUCUAUGUCUUAGGUUUUCCAUUGCUGUGAAUAGACACCAUGACCAAGGUAACACUUAUAAAGACAGCUAGGAGCAGGGUCUCAAAGCCCACCUAUACAGUGACACAUUUCCUUCAACAAGGCUACACCUACUCCAACAAGGCUAUAUUAGCAUCUCCUAAUAGCACCAUUCCCUGGGACAAGCAUACACAAAUCACCACAUUCUACAAACAAAUGUCACUUCUUCAACACUGCCUGUUUUAACCUGAAAAACCUUUAACAUAUACCUCUCAAGGCAGCUAGGCCAGACCAACUCCAUAGUUCUCUACAGUUACCCAGGUAACAGGACCCCCAUAUGACUGUUGCUCCUCAUAGCAGGACAUCUUAUGGAUUCAGGAAACUCAAGAGCCUGUUGGCAACCCACAUGGAUGGUGUGGACAGAUAUAGAAAGACCACUUGCCAAAUAUGUCACAGAUUGAGCAAUCUGGGAACUUUCUAUUCUUUCUUGAAGGAUGCUGUUUGUACUGCCAGAUCAUCUGAGGCAAGCUUGUUAGGUACUAAAGAUAUACUAAGUCUGGAUACAAGUGAUGUAUAUUUUUUAAAUUAAAUGUGAUUUUUUUCCAAAGCAAAUGAGUUUUAGAAACACAUUUGAUCUUGUAAUAGUUCUAUCUUUAGAUCUUGGAUCCAACUUGCUGCAUCUUUCUGUCUGUAGUAGCUUUAACUUGUCUACUUGUGUUGUCCUAAAAAGACAUCUCACAGUUUCUAAGAGGAUCACAAGAGAUAGCACACAGUCUGUAAAGUACUUUACUUGGAUUUUUGCUGAGGCCCAUGCAGGAGGAACAGUGAACAGCUUUCACUGCUCAGGGAAUACAGCCUACUGGUUAGCGCAGUCAUGUUGGGCAUGUCACUGGGAUACAUGACCUCAAGGACUAAAUGUUCUGAGGACUUCAUGCUUUGGUGAGUUUUGCUCUGCCUGUUGCCUUCACACCCCUCUUAAUCUAAGAAUUGUAUGAAAACUCUAAGGGGGUUUCCAGGCCCUCACUGGGCAGUGUCACUGGCACUCAUAAUAAUCCAGUUUGAUAUCUUUCAGGCAUUGCUGCUGAAACAGAUUAAUCAUUCAGUCACUUCCUAGGAGAGAAUUUACAGAUGUAGAUUGUCACCAAUGAUCAUCACCCUUAAAAAAAUUAGGAAAAAUAAAGUUGUUAGUGAAGCUAGGUUGUGAUGUUUUGACAACUGAUUCUGAUGUGCAAAAGGCACACUCUUAACAGUUAAACCAGUGACUUUUUGAGGUCCGGGAACAAGAACAAUGGCAGCACUAGCUGAUCUGACUCUCACUGAGGCUGAACUGGUGAUGGUUGACUUCUUAAACCUAUUUCUGCCCUCAGCUUCCUGAUAUGAUUUAAUAAAAGUUGCUGAUGAGUAGAUGUGUAUUGUGAGAAUUUAAAGUAAAUAUGGC